rnacentral:rRNA from 1 species
AGUGAACGCUGGCGGUAGGCCUAACACAUGCAAGUCGAACGGCAGCACAGUAAGAGCUUGCUCUUACGGGUGGCGAGUGGCGGACGGGUGAGGAAUACAUCGGAAUCUACUUUUUCGUGGGGGAUAACGUAGGGAAACUUACGCUAAUACCGCAUACGACCUACGGGUGAAAGCAGGGGAUCUUCGGACCUUGCGCGAUUGAAUGAGCCGAUGUCGGAUUAGCUAGUUGGCGGGGUAAAGGCCCACCAAGGCGACGAUCCGUAGCUGGUCUGAGAGGAUGAUCGGCCACACUGGAGCUGAGACACGGUCCAGAGUCCUACGGGAGGCAGCAGUGGGGAAUGUUGGACAAUGGGGGCGAGCCUGAUCCAGCCAUACCGCGUGGGUGAAGACGGCCUUCGGGUUGUAAAGCCCUUUCGUUGGGAAAGAAAAGCAGCAGGUUAAUACCCCGCUGUUCUGACGGUACCCAAAGAAUAAGCACCGGCUAACUUCGUG